rnacentral:tRNA from 11 species
UUUAUAGCUUUUACUAAAAACGAAAUCAUUAUAGUCAUCCAAUCCACUUACAGUGGUUUUUAGCAU